CGUUAGCUACAAACCGUUGGGGGCUGAGCUCAACAUUUAUAUCUGCUCCGACAAAUCCAAGGUCAAUGCGUAGAGAGUGCCUUUCAAGGUUUAUAUCUGCUUCGGCAAAUUUUAGUUUUAUUUUUUAAUGUAAAGAUAAAUUAAGCGGAUUGGGUUUGUGGGGGUAAUUUAGAUAGUAAUCUUGGUUUAAAAAGAUAGUAAUAGAUAAUUUAGGUACAAUAUGAGCGCUGGAGUAAGUUGGCUGAGAUAAUAUUGGUUUUCUCUCGGUCUCCAUUUCCGGAAAUCCCAAUGUGUAAGUUCAUCUUACUUCCCCAAAUUCACAAUCCCUAAAACGUAAUUUGCUGCAUUUUCUGAUCAUUCAAUAUGUCGGCAACGUCAGCUACCAGCCGCCGGGGACUGAGCUCAGCCUCCUCAGUGAUGUUAGCCUUUCGCUUCCGGAGAAAAGUGCUCUGCUCUUGUCCCGUAAGUGCUGCCAUUCAGCCUGUACUGGGGGAAGUUCAUGUAUUUCUUACAAUUUUCAGUCCCCUCCUUUACCAGUGGCCCUUCAGGGAACCUUCUGUUGUCUCCACCCUUGAGCAUCAUGUUUUCAUUACAACCACUAUCUGCACUGAAAAUUUUCUUCUUCUUGUAUUUCUCAGACUUGACAACUUCUCUAGCAGCAAUAGAGCUUUCAGGAUGGAUCGUUCUAUGGAACAUGCGUAAGACCUGCAUGCCAGACAAAAGGACCAAUAAGUUGUAUUUGAAGUAAUAGGUUCUUUUUUAUCCUCAAUAUAAGACAACAGCAGGUAGUUUGGGAGAAAUUAUUCGAAGAAGGAUUGUUCUCUAAUGAAGACAUCUAAUGGAAACACUACUAUUGGGUUUAGAUAAACAAGGUUCUGUAGCGGGGUGCUAGGUUUUCCAGGGGUCAGUAAACUGGAAACAACACCUUACUUUGAGUGUGUAGAUCAUAUUGUAAGACCUGGAGAUGCUAACAAAGACAAUUUUCAUGCUACAUUUGCUUCUCACAAUUAAUUUAUGUGUCAGUGUUACAUUC